GGUUGGGGCUCAGCGGUAGAGCACUUGCCUAGCACGUGCAAGGCCCUGGGUUCCAUCCUCAGCACCA
rnacentral:tRNA from 1 species